ensembl:sense_intronic Gm29358 predicted gene 29358
CUGCCCUGGCCACAGGAGAGUAGGGGUGGGGAUUAGUCAGCCGACCAGCGUCACAGCUGAGGAUCAGAACACAAGAGACUGGCAGCCUGGGAACUCCCUGUUCGCCUUUAAGGGAACCUUGCAGUGCUGUCCUGACAGCAGAACCAGGGAAGAAGCUGGAUGGCCCCAGAAGCGCUUCCUGGCCUCCUCUGCCAAGCUCAUCACAGCCUGUGGACCCAUAAUGAAAUGGCAGGCACAUCCAGAUAUGGCAGAGAUGAGGACAGAGACAAACCAAGGAAAUGGUGUCUUUAUUUCUUUCACAGAACCACCCCUUCCCAUGUACACCCUGUGACAGAGUUACCCCCUGCCCUACAAGAAAGACUGGCAGAUCCAGGUCAGCCACACCUUCAGGGCCGCUGCUGGAAGCAGGAGAGUCCCAGCUUCUCUUUCAGGGCACCAGUGCAGCUCAGAGAUCAGAUAGAGGACAUGCACGGCUCCUCUCAGGACAACGGGAGUGAUUCACAAGGAAAACCAGUGAGGAUCGAGUAACAGGCCAGGUCUCUGAGCAGGUCACACUGAGGAAAGCUGUUCUCCAUCUCCCCAGAGCAAGAAUGUGUCAAGCCAGAGAGAAGAAAGCCUUUCUAGAGAGGAGGGGUAUGAGAAGUGAGCCGGGCAGGGAAGCAUGGGAGUCAGGCACUGCGCAGGGCAGAGCCACUGGAGAAGUGGGACUCCCAGAGUGGAGAGUGAGUCUAAGAUCAGCCACUGGAACUGGUUUGGAGAGUCUCGAGUCUAUGAAAGGACAGAGUAAUCACAAGCAAGAUAAAAGAAGCAAGUUUUUCCUGCCCCAGCCUUUGGAGCAAAAGCCUUGUUCCCCUAAACCCUACUCUUUCCCUCGCCAAGCCUCCUUCUGAGUCCACAGAAAGAAUGACAUCCUGGUGGGUGGGAAGAGGGCAAAGCAGGUUACCUUUGGUGUAGAGGUGCCUGACAUUCCAUUAUGGCUUUUAUCUCAGUAAUCUAGGUCUAUAUGAAAUCCUCCAUGGGGGGAGAGGGGGUGCUGGCUGAUGGCUAAACAGUCCUAAAAGACACUGCCAGGAAAGGCCCUGUUGUUAGAGUCCCAACAGUGCUACCAAGCCAUGAUGUCCCAAUGACCUGGCCCUUCACUUUCACAGGGUAUGUGGGAAAUGGGGUGGUUGAGUGAUCUCAGGGCUCAAUGACAGCUCUAAGAGCUGACUGUGACCCAGGAAACUGACCAUGCAGGGCCCCCUCCCUCUUCCCAAGAGAGGGGCUGCAGUGACUCACUGCCUGGGGUGUGGCUCCAGGGUCUAGGGUGGCUCAGCUGCUGACUCACAGGCCUCCCCCCUGUCCUCCCUGCCCGGUCGUGCUGGGAGGAAUUUGCCAGUGGACCUGCCUGAUCCCAGCAUAGUUCUCUGAGUCCUCCACCACCUGCCCUUUUGAACCAGAGAUGAUGUCAUGCGUCAGUGUCCCCACCUGGAAGAUGGGUUCAACACCACUUAACAGUACCUCCCAAGGAACCGUCAAAAUUAAGACAGAAUAUACACACUGAGUGGGUGGAGAGAUGGCUCAGCAGUUAAGAACACUGCUGCUCUCCCAUAGGACCUGGGUUCAAGUCCUGGCAUCCACAUGGCAGCUCACAACUGUCUGUAACUCUAGUUCCAGGGGAUCUGACACCCUCACACAGACAUACAGGCGGGCAGAACACCAGUGCACAUAAAAUAAAAAUAAGUUAAUUU